rnacentral:rRNA from 1 species
CCUACGGGUGGCUGCAGUAAGGAAUAUUGGUCAAUGGACGGAAGUCUGAACCAGCCAUGCCGCGUGCAGGAAGACGGCCCUAUGGGUUGUAAACUGCUUUUGCAGGGGAAUAAACCUCUCUACGUGUAGAGAGCUGAAUGUACUCUGAGAAUAAGGAUCGGCUAACUCCGUGCCAGCAGCCGCGGUAAUACGGAGGAUCCAAGCGUUAUCCGGAUUUAUUGGGUUUAAAGGGUGCGUAGGUGGCUUUUUAAGUCAGGGGUGAAAGACGGUAGCUU